rnacentral:rRNA from 1 species
UACGUAGGUGGCAAGCGUUGUCUGGAUUUACUGGGCGUAAAGGAUGCGUAGGCGGACAUUUAAGUCAGAUGUGAAAUACCCGAGCUUAACUUGGGUGCUGCAUUUGAAACUGGGUGUCUAGAGUGCAGGAGAGGUAAGUGGAAUUCCUAGUGUAGCGGUGAAAUGCGUAGAGAUUAGGAAGAACACCGGUGGCGAAGGCGGCUCACUGGACCGAGACUGACGCUGAGGCGCGAAAGCGUGGGGAGCAAACAGG